GACGAACGCUGGCGGCGUGCUUAACACAUGCAAGUCGAGCGGUAAGGCCCUUUCGGGGGUACACGAGCGGCGAACGGGUGAGUAACACGUGGGUGACCUGCCCUCAGCUCUGGGAUAAGCCUGGGAAACCGGGUCUAAUACCGGAUAUGACUCCAUGACGCAUGUUGUGGGGUGGAAAGCCUUGUGCGGCUGAGGAUGGGCCCGCGGCCUAUCAGCUUGUUGGUGGGGUGAUGGCCUACCAGGCGACGACGGGUAGCCGGCCUGAGAGGGCGACCGGCCACACUGGGACUGAGACACGGCCCAGACUCCUACGGGAGGCAGCAGUGGGGAAUCUUGCGCAAUGGGCGAAAGCCUGACGCAGCGACGCCGCGUGAGGGAUGACGG
rnacentral:rRNA from 1 species